rnacentral:rRNA from 1 species
AGUAACGCGUAGGCAAUCUGCCUUCUAGAUGGGACAACAUCCCGAAAGGGGUGCUAAUACCGAAUGUUGUACCGUUUCCGCAUGGAGAUGAUACUAAAGGUGGCCUCUGAAUAUGCUACCGCUAGAAGAUGAGCCUGCGUCUGAUUAGCUAGUUGGAGGGUAACGGCCCACCAAGGCUUCGAUCAGUAGCCGGUCUGAGAGGAUGAACGGCCACACUGGGACUGAGACACGGCCCAGACUCCUACGGGAGGCAGCAGUGGGGAAUCUUCCGCAAUGGACGAAAGUCUGACGGAGCAACGCCGCGUGAGUGAAGAAGGUUUUCGGAUCGUAAAGCUCUUUCGUUAGGGACGAACGUGCUCUUUGUGAAUAAUGAGGAGUAAUGACGGUACCUAAAUAAGAAGCCACGGCUAACUACGUGCCAGCCGCCGC